AGGAUUAAGGGUUAUUUUAAGAUUGAAAUAAGGGUUGUUGGAGGCUAUAUAGGCCACGAAUUUUCUGCCAUAUUUCUUCAUCAAAAAGUGUUCUUCAUGGGCUUGCUCGGGAAUCAACACCUCUAGGCCAAGGAAAUCUAAUUUGAUCAGCCCCUAAACUCUUCAAUCAAGUUUAGAGCAGUAAAUAGCUUUAAGGACCGCCUCUUGGACGAUGUACUUGUUUGUUAUGCGAUGGCUUGUAUGCGAUGGCUUGUAAUGCAAACAAUUAUCUUUUGAUUUGGAUAUGGUUUUUGUUAUAGUAUUUUAAAAAUGUUGAUUUGAACUAUGUAACCUUAUGAUUUGGGAUGAUGUUUAAGACUUUCAUGA